rnacentral:RNase_P_RNA from 1 species
AGAGUUGGCGCAGGUGGUUGCGGAUUAGGGAUUUCCUAAUCUGAGGAAAGUCCGGGCUCCCGAAAGACCAGACUUGCUGGAUAACGCCCAGUGCGGGUGACCGUGAGGAUAGUGCCACAGAAACAUACCGCCGAUGGGAAGAAUGAUGGCUGAAGGCUGACGACAGCUCUCAGCGCUUUUCAACCUUCCACAGGUAAGGGUGCAAAGGUGCGGUAAGAGCGCACCAGCAGCAUCGAGAGGU